AUUGAACGCUGGCGGCAGGCCUAACACAUGCAAGUCGAGCGAGCGGCGGACGGGUGAGUAAUGUCUGGGGAUCUGCCCGAUGGAGGGGGAUAACUACUGGAAACGGUGGCUAAUACCGCAUACUAUCGGUUGAACCCAUAUGGGAUUAGCUAGUAGGUGGGGUAAAGGCUCACCUAGGCGACGAUCGCUAGCUGGUCUGAGAGGAUGACCAGCCACACUGGGACUGAGACACGGCCCAGACUCCUCCGGGAGGCAGCAGUGGGGAAUAUUGCACAAUGGGCGCAAGCCUGAUGCAGCCAUGCCGCGUGUAUGAAGAAGGCCUUAGGGUUGUAAAGUACUUUCAGCGGGGAGGCGUUACCCGCAGAAGAAGCACCGGCUAACUCCGUGCCAGCAGCCGCGGUAAUUC
rnacentral:rRNA from 1 species